rnacentral:rRNA from 1 species
GACGAACGCUGGCGGCGUGCUUAACACAUGCAAGUCGAACGGAAAGGCCCUGCUUUUGUGGGGUGCUCGAGUGGCGAACGGGUGAGUAACACGUGAGUAACCUGCCCUUGGCUUUGGGAUAACUUCAGGAAACUGGGGCUAAUACCGGAUAGGAGCUCCUGCUGCAUGGUGGGGGUUGGAAAGUUUCGGCGGUUGGGGAUGGACGCGCGGCUUAUCAGCUUGUUGGUGGGGUAGUGGCUUACCAAGGCUUUGACGGGUAGCCGGCCUGAGAGGGUGACCGGCCACAUUGGGACUGAGAUACGGCCCAGACUCCUACGGGAGGCAGCAGUGGGGAAUAUUGCACAAUGGGCGGAAGCCUGAUGCAGCAACGCCGCGUGCGGGAUGACGGCCUUCGGGUUGUAAACCGCUUUCGCCUGUGACGAAGCGUGAGUGACGGUAAUGGGUAAAGAAGCACCGGCUAACUACGUG